CAACUGAGCUGUGUAACAGCGCUUUUUGUUAAAAGUGAGGAAAGUCCGGGCUUCACAGAGCAGGAUAACUGCUAACGGCAGCCGAAGGCAACUUCCGGGAAAGUGCAACAGAAAUAUACCGCCUUCUUUUUGAAGGUAAGGGUGGAAAGGCGAGGUAAGAGCUCACCGGCGGCGGGGUAACUCGUCGCGCUCUGCAAACCCUAUCCGAAGCAACAUCGUGGUACCGCAUAUUUUAUUGAUAGCAAUCGCUAUCAGAGCGCUUGCUCGGCGCUUUAAAUAUGUUGGUAGAGAUGGCUGGAGCUUUGCAGCGAUGUAAAGCCAAGAUAGAUUGUUACACUCGACAGAACCCGGCUUAUAGGCUCAGUUGUAAU
rnacentral:RNase_P_RNA from 1 species